UACGUAGGGUGCGAGCGUUGUCCGGAAUUAUUGGGCGUAAAGGGCUCGUAGGCGGUCCGUCACGUCGGGAGUGAAAACUCGGAGCUUAACUCCGAGCCUGCUUCCGAUACGGGCAGACUAGAGGUAGGCAGGGGAGAGCGGAACUCCUGGUGUAGCGGUGGAAUGCGCAGAUAUCAGGAAGAACACCGGUGGCGAAGGCGGCUCUCUGGGCCUUACCUGACGCUGAGGAGCGAAAGCAUGGGGAGCGAACAGG
rnacentral:rRNA from 1 species